GGCACCUUACUGGCCGCGGUAGGGGGUGCGGGCAGCCAAUGGCGAACAACGUUGCGGGCGCUGCAAUACUCCUCGGGCCCCGCCGCGCACCCGCACCUGCCCAUCAUGGCUGCCCCCUCCCGCGCACGAGCAGUCGAGCACGAGGUAGCGUAGCGUCUGCCGCCACCAACCGGAUGGAUCGGCGGCCACCGCCAUAUACGGCGGCGCGCAACGCAGAAUGUGUCCAGGCC
rnacentral:lncRNA from 1 species